rnacentral:rRNA from 1 species
CCUACGGGUGGCAGCAGUGAGGAAUAUUGGUCAAUGGGCGCGAGCCUGAACCAGCCAAGUAGCGUGAAGGAUGACUGCCCUACGGGUUGUAAACUUCUUUUAUAAAGAAAUAAAGUGAGGCACGAGUACCUUUUUGUAUGUACUUUAUGAUUAAGGAUCGGCUAACUCCGUGCCAGCAGCCGCGGUAAUACGGAGGAUCCGAGCGUUACGCGGAUUUAUUGGGUUGAAAGGGAGCGUAGAUGGGUUGUUAAGUCAGUUGUGAAAGUUUGCGGCUCAACCGUAAAAAUGCAAUUGAUACUGGCAGCCUUGAGUACAGUUGAGGUAGGCGGAAUUCGUGGUGUAGCGGUGAAAUGCUUAGAUAUCACGAAGAACUCCGAUUGCGAAGGCAGCUUACUAAACUGCCACUGACAUUGAUGCUCGAAAGUGUGGGUAUCAAACAGGAUUAGAUACCCCUGUAGUC